CACAUGCGCAGAGAGCGCUCCCCGCCAUCCCGGGUUUGGGUCGCUCGGGAAAACGGGAAUCGUUCUCCUUUCCCAAAAAACCCUCAAGAAUUAAAUUAGGAACUUUGUGAUCCUCCCAUCGCAGCCAGCACCGGCCAAAAUUAACCCCAGCAAGCCUCAAUUAAAGCCAAAGGGAGCUGGAAGAUUUGACAUCUGGGAUUGUAAAUUUAUGGCCCUUCAAGGACUCUGGAAGAACAAGAAGAUGCAGAAAGGAUUAAAGGUUGGAAAGUUGGAAAGUCUGAGAAAAAGAUGAUUAAAGGGCUAAAGAAUGUGGGCCAGCUGGAAUUUGCAGAGGGAAUGCUGCCUGGAGCGUGCUACCAGACCAUAAUUGAGUGAGGAUUUUUUUUUUUGUGAGCUUCAAGCAGCUCUUGGUUUCUGCUGCCCAACAAAAAUCCUGGGAACUACGCUGCUUUUGGGAUAUUUGGGGAGAAAUACAACAGGAAAGGUUAAAUGGAUGGCAGAAAUGAGACAGGACGGAGCAGCUCU
rnacentral:lncRNA from 1 species